rnacentral:rRNA from 1 species
AGAGUUUGAUCAUGGCUCAGGACGAACGCUGGCGGCGUGCUUAACGCAUGCAAGUCGGACGCAGUAAGCUUGCUUACUGAGUGGCGCACGGCUGAGUAACACGUGGGUAUAUGCCUUUAUGUGGGGGAUAACGGGCUGAAAGGUUCGCUAAUCCCGCAUGUGCUCGGGAACGAGGAAAGCAGAAAUGCGCAUAAAGAGUAGCCUGCGGCCCAUCAGGUAGUUGGAGUGGUAAUGGCACACCAAGCCGAUGACGGGUACCUGGUCUGAGAGGACGACCAGGCAGACUGGGACUGAGACACGGCCCAGACUCCUACGGGAGGCAGCAGCGAGGAAUUUUCCGCAAUGGGCGCAAGCCUGACGGAGCAACGCCGCGUGCAGGAUGAAGGCCUUCGGGUUGUAAACUGCUUUUGUUGGGGACGAUAAGGACGGUACCCAGCGAAUAAGCCCCGGCUAACUCCGUGCCAGCAGCCGCGGUAAUUC